UACGGAGGGUGCGAGCGUUAAUCGGAAUUACUGGGCGUAAAGCGCGCGUAGGCGGUUUGGUAAGUUGGGUGUGAAAGCCCUGGGCUCAACCUGGGAAUUGCAUUCGAUACUGCCUGACUAGAGUACGGUAGAGGGGGGUAGAAUUCCCGGUGUAGCGGUGAAAUGCGUAGAUAUCGGGAGGAAUACCAGUGGCGAAGGCGGCCCCCUGGACUGAUACUGACGCUGAGGUGCGAAAGCGUGGGGAGCAAACAGG
rnacentral:rRNA from 1 species